AUAUUAAUAAGCGGAGGAAGAGAAACUAACGAGGAUUCCCUCAGUAACGGCGAGUGAAGCGGGAAGAGCCCAGCACCGAAUCCCCCGCCAGAAAUGGCGACGGGAACUGUGGUGUUAAGGACAGCCUACGGGGAUCGGUUGCGAGUCCGAGUCCUCCUGAUCGGGGCUUUGCCAGAGCGGGUGUCAGCCCUCUACGGCGCCGGAACGUCGUGCCCGCCACGUCCUCGGAGUCGGGUUGUUUGAUAAUGCAGCCCAAAGCGGGUGGUAAACUCCAUCUAAGGCUAAAUACGGACACGAGACCGAUAGCGCACAAGUA
rnacentral:rRNA from 1 species